rnacentral:rRNA from 1 species
UACAGAGGUCUCAAGCGUUGUUCGGAUUCAUUGGGCGUAAAGGGCGCGUAGGCGGCGCGGUAAGUCGGGUGUGAAAUCUUGGAGCUUAACUCCGAAACUGCAUUCGAUACUGCCGUGCUUGAGGACUGGAGAGGAGACUGGAAUUUACGGUGUAGCGGUGAAAUGCGUAGAUAUCGUAAGGAAGACCAGUGGCGAAGGCGGGUCUCUGGACAGUUCCUGACGUGAGGCACGAAGGUCAGGGGAGCAAACGGG